UAGUAACUGCGAGUGAACCGGGAAAAGCUCAAAUUUUGAAUCUGGCGGUCCAAGGGCCGUCCGAGUUGUAAUCUAGAGAAGCGUCUUCCGCGCUGGACCGUGUAUAAGUUUCCUGGAAUGGAACGUCGUAGAGGGUGACAAUCCCGUCUUUGACACGGACUCCCAGUGCUAUGUGAUGCGCUCUCGACGAGUCGAGUUGUUUGGGAAUGCAGCUCAAAUAGGGUGGUAAAUUCCAUCUAAAGCUAAAUACAGGCGAGAGACCGAUAGCGAACAAGUACCGUGAGGGAAAGAUGAAAAGAACUUUGGAAAGAGAGUUAAACAGUACGUGAAAUUGCUGAAAGGGAAACGCUUGAUGUCAGUCGCAUCGUCCGGGGAUCAGCCUCGCUCUUUUGCUCGGCGUACUUCCUGGUCGAUGGGUCAGCAUCGGUUUCGACCGUCGGAAAAUGGCUCGAGGAACGUGGCACUCUUCGGGGUGUGUUAUAGCCUCGAGUCGAAUACGACGGUCGGGACCGAGGAACUCAGCACGACCUUCGGGUUCGGGGCUUCGGCUCACGUUCGCGUGCUUAGGAUGCUGGCAUA
rnacentral:rRNA from 1 species